rnacentral:rRNA from 1 species
AAAUUGAAGAGUUUGAUCAUGGCUCAGAUUGAACGCUGGCGGCAGGCCUAACACAUGCAAGUCGAACGGUAACAGGAAGAAGCUUGCUUCUUUGCUGACGAGUGGCGGACGGGUGAGUAAUGUCUGGGAAACUGCCUGAUGGAGGGGGAUAACUACUGGAAACGGUAGCUAAUACCGCAUAACGUCGCAAGACCAAAGAGGGGGACCUUCGGGCCUCUUGCCAUCGGAUGUGCCCAGAUGGGAUUAGCUAGUAGGUGGGGUAACGGCUCACCUAGGCGACGAUCCCUAGCUGGUCUGAGAGGAUGACCAGCCACACUGGAACUGAGACACGGUCCAGACUCCUACGGGAGGCAGCAGUGGGGAAUAUUGCACAAUGGGCGCAAGCCUGAUGCAGCCAUGCCGCGUGUAUGAAGAAGGCCUUCGGGUUGUAAAGUACUUUCAGCGGGGAGGAAGGGAGUAAAGUUAAUACCUUUGCUCAUUGACGUUACCCGCAGAAGAAGCACCGGCUAACUCCGUGCCAGCAGCCGCGGUAAUACGGAGGGUGCAAGCGUUAAUCGGAAUUACUGGGCGUAAAGCGCACGCAGGCGGUUUGUUAAGUCAGAUGUGAAAUC